UGGUAUAGAUGGAUAGGGGAUUGAAAAACGAGCAAUUUGAUUACUCAAAACUUCAAAUUUGGAUAUCAGAAUCACCUUCAAAGUUAUCUUUGAUUCUCAUCAACUUAAAAAAAACUAACGGCGUCAAACCCGAUCUAACAGAAUGUAAUAUCCCGUAAUUUUUUUAGAAUAAUAUUAAUUGAUUAGUAAUUAAAAAAAAAGGAUUAAAAUUUGAUUAUGAUUAGGUUUUAUAAUUGAAUUAGGAUAUUGGGCUUAAAAUUUGGAUCAGACUUGAAUUCGGAUAUCGGGUAGGUGUGGAACCAGGGUUUGGAGACUCUUUAUAUAUCGAUUGCAUUCCUUCAUUCUUUUAUAAUUAUUUUGUGCGAGCCGCCUAACUUUUUCUUCCCUUUUCUUACAAAAAUUCGCAGGCCUUUAUUCACACAAAUCAAUUGUCUUAUAAAAUUCGUGGAAAAUUCAAUUAUUAUCGGAUUUUGAUGAUUCUUGAUGUUACGGAAAGCUCUUUCAAUCUCCUACAACUUUCGUUAACAAUGUUUUCUCAGAUUUGUUUUCGAACUGUUCUCAAAAUCCCAAAGAAUAUUCAGACCCUGUUUUUCGCUUUGAAUCUGAGCAGCAGACGUUUUAUUUAAUUCCCGAUUCGUUAUGAGUCCGUUUUUGAUGAGCCAUACCUUUUCAGAAAGGUCUUUUCGUCCUCUACAACUUUUGUGUUUUGAGUUUUCCAAGAAAGCAUCGUUUAGAGGGUCAAAAUAGUAGAUUAGUGAUCUGGGCAGAUUGGAAUCAUGGAGGCUUUUGGAGUUUUAAGAAUAUGUAAUUUUGAUUGGUUGCUAAGAUUGAUUAUAUGAUCUAGGAUGGUGUUGAGUAUUUGAUUUCGAUGUUGAGGUAAGUUUCUGACCGAUCUUUCUAGUGUUUUAAAAGUUAUGUGUUAUAUGUUUAUUUGAUUGUAUAAAUUUGGGCUAGGUGAUUAUAUUUUGAAUUGAUUUUCGUUCUCGUAUAUAUACGGUGUUGACGAUGAUUUCGGAACUCUUAUUUAUGCCAUGGUUUGUGAAAAUAAGAAUAAGAAUAAGGACCGAGUCACCGGGUUAUAGUGACAGUUUUCAGAAAAUUCAGGAUCGUUAUAAUCACCGAGUUGUAGUGGUCGUGGUAUAAACUAUGAGUUCUGAGUUAUUGUGAUUAUCGUAUCGAAUAAGAAUAUGAAAGUGUUUUGAAAGUAUUUGUUACGUAUAUUGUUAUCGUAUAAAAAAAAGUAUAUUUUAUCUUAUAUGUAUACAUGUUACUUGGCCCGACUAGUUGGAUCGAUUAGUUGCUUGUUGGGCUGUAUAACUCAUUACUUACAAUUUUCAGGUUUGAUUUAAGAGCGAGUUGAUGUGCAUUGGAUUUGGAGUUCAGUGAUGUUAGAUUUGGAUUGACUUUUGGACUUCCCUUAGCUGCGCCUUUGUAAUAGUCACCUUUGUAAUCGGAUUUUGGAUUAAUAAAUUGUGUUCUAUUUCA
rnacentral:lncRNA from 1 species